rnacentral:rRNA from 1 species
AUGCCCCUACGGGGGGCAGCAGUAGGGAAUCUUCCACAAUGGACGAAAGUCUGAUGGAGCAACGCCGCGUGAGUGAAGAAGGGAUUCGGCUCGUAAAGCUCUGUUGGUAGUGAAGAAAGAUAGAGGUAGUAACUGGCCUUUAUUUGACGGUAAUUACUUAGAAAGUCACGGCUAACUACGUGCCAACAGCCGCGGUAAUACGUAGGUGGCAAGCGUUGUCCGGAUUUAUUGGGCGUAAAGCGAGUGCAGGCGGGUCAAUAAAACUGAU